rnacentral:lncRNA from 1 species
UGAAGAGGGUGAAACGUUUGGCUAGCUCUUGCUGGAUGUAAUUGGACAGCAGACGCAUCAAUAAUACAUCUAUCCCCUCCAUUUCUGCUUUACUAGGACAGAAGGAGCUCUUUGUUGUUCAUUUGCAGGUCAGUACCAACAAUAAGCACAAAAUAUUUACUAAAAUAAAAAAAUAGCGAAAAAAUAAAAUAGAUAAAAAAUGAACAGAAAGAAAACUAAACCUAGAGCUCAAUACUGAUGCUGGUGACGGAGAAAACUGACGAGAUGCAAGAUUGAGACAGAAAGCAAGCAUCAACAACCAAGAAAAUCGAAACAUAGGGUAGAGCUCAAUACUGAUGCAGGUGACGGAGAAAACUAACGAGAUGCAAUAUUGAGCCAGAAAGCAAGCAUCAACAACCAAGAAAAAUCGAAACAUAGGGUUAAGAGAUAGAGAAAGAUCGACGGAGAGACAAAGAGAUAGUGAUAUAGAGAGAUAAGUCGGAUUACCUGGUGAUGGUUGUCGGUCGUGGUGAUGCCGCAACCGAUGGCGGGAUAUAUAUCAAAUUGGGAAAUAGUUCAAUUUGGGUGUCUGUUCUAGGUUCACAAUUUUGUAAAGGUAAAUCUGAGGAUACCAGAUGCUAAAAUCUUCCUUCAGUUUGCCUUCCUCACCAAAGAGAAUAACAUGUUGACAAUGAAGCCCAGGUGAAUCCGUUACAAACACAAAAAUACCACCACAAAAUCUAAUCCAGUAAAGAUUACACCUAAUGAAAUGAAAACCAAAGAGGCAAUUUGUUGAGUCUAGUAAGGAUGGUACCUUAAACAGACCAUCAUAGAGAUGCAGCCCAAUCAAUCUGCGGAGGAGUGAAGGAUAGAUGGAAGUAAAGGAGUUUUUUGAUAGAGAGGAGAGAGUAUUUUGCCCUAAUUGUUAUAAUGUAGUCUUUUAACCUAUUUAAUUCUUUCAGACGGAAAUAGCGACGGAAUUAGCGAGCGAACU